UGUUUUAGUGUGCUGCACAGCCAGACUCUCCAGUCUCCACAACACAUCCACAAUUGGUCUCGAAAACAGGGGCGGCCGUUUUAAAGGCAGUGGUCAUAACUAAGUAGGCCUACCAAAACCUCAGAGCCAUUGGUAAGGAGAAGGCGGAGGAGAGGGGAAUGGAGAGAGGAGAGGAGAGGAGGAUGGUCUCAGGCCUAGGGCCAUGGGCUGAAAGAAACCUCUCUGCUGGGGUGGGCCACUCCGCCUUUGGAACAUCACGCCUGUAGAUGGCAGUAGGCAACUUAACGGUGCUUGCGGCACAUAUGAUUUCCGUCCUAGGGGAAGAAGAAGUCGUGUAUGAUGGUUGCUGGAAGACCUUGAAGUUCCUCUGAUAAAUGUGCUCGCCAUGGUGCUUGGACGCCUCCUCCACGCUCUGAUAAACAACGCACAACUGGUGGAGAAACUAGCGGAGUCCAGACCCAUCAGACGUGCAGCUCAGAUCACGGCUUUUGCUAUUACAAAAGCUCAGAUUGCAGGAAAGGAUGCCACAUCGAAGCUACUGAAAUCAGACACACUUCGCCAGAUGAAAGACGAAGCGGGGAGAGUGCCGACGGAUUUUGGAGAGAUGGGACGAAAAGCCGGACGAAUUCGAGACAGCUUCGUUCGAGAAGUGAGGGAAGGAAUGAGGGACGCUUCACGACAAAUUAAAAACAAGGACAAAUGACACAGUCCGUACUCUGUCGAUAAAGCGAUGGACUAUCACCUCAGGAAGCGGUUGUUUAAUUUAUCCCACGUGUCAUUGUUGCAGUGUCCUGAUAUUUAUGGAUGACGGUUUGCUGUCAGGAUUGAAGCCAAUUGGAUUAGUAAUAAAACUUCAUCUGAAAAUCA